rnacentral:rRNA from 1 species
AGUGAACGCUGGCGGUAGGCCUAACACAUGCAAGUCGAACGGCAGCACAGUAAGAGCUUGCUCUUACGGGUGGCGAGUGGCGGGCGGGUGAGGAAUACAUCGGAAUCUACUUUUUCGUGGGGGAUAACGUAGGGAAACUUACGCUAAUACCGCAUACGACCUACGGGUGAAAGCAGGGGAUCUUCGGACCUUGCGCGAUUGAAUGAGCCGAUGUCGGAUUAGCUAGUUGGCGGGGUAAAGGCCCACCAAGGCGACGAUCCGUAGCUGGUCUGAGAGGAUGAUCAGCCACACUGGAACUGGGACACGGUCCAGACUCCUACGGGAGGCAGCAGUGGGGAAUAUUGGACAAUGGGCGCAAGCCUGAUCCAGCCAUACCGCGUGGGUGAAGAAGGCCUUCGGGUUGUAAAGCCCUUUUGUUGGGAAAGAAAAGCAGCAGGUUAAUACCCCGCUGUUCUGACGGUACCCAAAGAAUAAGCACCGGCUAACUUCGUG